rnacentral:tRNA from 1 species
GGAGAGGUGCUCGAGUGGCUGAAGAGGCACGCCUGGAAAGCGUGUAUACCUUAACCAGGUAUCGAGGGUUCGAAUCCCUCUCUCUCCG